rnacentral:rRNA from 1 species
AUGGUUAAGUGGGAAACGAUGUGGGAAGGCCCAGACAGCCAGGAUGUUGGCUUAGAAGCAGCCAUCAUUUAAAGAAAGCGUAAUAGCUCACUGGUCGAGUCGGCCUGCGCGGAAGAUGUAACGGGGCUAAACCAUGCACCGAAGCUGCGGCAGCGACACUAUGUGUUGUUGGGUAGGGGAGCGUUCUGUAAGCCUGUGAAGGUGUACUGUGAGGUAUGCUGGAGGUAUCAGAAGUGCGAAUGCUGACAUAAGUAACGAUAAAGCGGGUGAAAAGCCCGCUCGCCGGAAGACCAAGGGUUCCUGUCCAACGUUAAUCGGGGCAGGGUGAGUCGACCCCUAAGGCGAGGCCGAAAGGCGUAGUCGAUGGGAAACAGGUUAAUAUUCCUGUACUUGGUGUUACUGCGAAGGGGGGACGGAGAAGGCUAUGUUGGCCGGGCGACGGUUGUCCCGGUUUAAGCGUGUAGGCUGGUUUUCCAGGCAAAUCC